AGGUGUGUUUAACCCUUCGCUGCAGGUGGGGUGGGGGUGCAGCUGCCCCCGCUGCCCCCCGAGUUCCUCCAGGCCGUUGCCCACCAGAUCACCCAGCAGGCCAUGGCGGCCGCGGCCUCUGCGGCCACAGGCCAGGCCGUGGGGGGGUUCCAGGCCCCCACCCGUGUGGUCAUCGCCCGGCCCUCGGCCCCUCCCCCGCGCCCAACCCCCACCCACCCCGGAGCGCCCCAGGCUGGAGCCGGGCCCGUGAGUGGAACUGGGAGGGACCCCCCCCCCCCCCCCCCCCCCCCCCCCCCCCCCCCCCCCCCCCCCCCCC
rnacentral:lncRNA from 12 species